AUGGAGGGUAAACAACAAUGGGACAUGGUGGACCCUGGAUUCAAGCUUUGCGCUCCAGUUCUGAAGAGAGCAGCAGGUAGACCAAGGAAGAGUCGAAUCAGACCUCGCAGCGAAGGAGCUGGACUUGGAGCGAGGAAGCGUAAGUGCACAAGGUGUGGUGGGUCUGGUCAUUUUGGUAAGUAUUGUGAUAACACGGUAGAUCCAGCGUUCGGAGAGAGUUUCGAUGAAGGCUUCAAUGAAAAUGUUGGUCAGCAGCCGGUUGCCUCAAUAGAUGAUGAAAAUGAUGGUCAACAGCCGGUAGCAUCAUAUGAGAAUUUUGACAAGGUUCCAACUGAUGAUGGUCAACAGCCGCAUGAUUUUGACGAUGAUCCAAAAUAUCCUCCAAAUAAUGAUUCAAGUGAGGCUUCAAAUGGUGAUCCAAGUGAGGCUCCAAAUAGGGAUCAUGGUGAUCCAAGUGAGGCUCCAAAUGGUGAUCAUGGUGAUCCAAGUGAGGCUCCAAAUGAUGAUCCAAGUGAGGCUCCAAAUGGUGGCCAACCUUCUGUUGUUGUGAGUUCUGCUAGGUAUGUAAAUCUUGCAAGGGUCAAAUACUACUGUACAUUUAUCACUUGA
rnacentral:rRNA from 1 species